UACAGAGGUCUCAAGCGUUGUUCGGAUUCAUUGGGCGUUAAAGGGUGUGUAGGUGGCGCCGUAAGUCGGGUGUGAAAUUUCGGAGCUUAACUCCGAAACUGCAUUCGAUACUGCGGUGCUUGAGGACUGGAGAGGAGACUGGAAUUCAUGGUGUAGCAGUGAAAUGCGUAGAGAUCAUGAGGAAGACCAGUGGCGAAGGCGGGUCUCUGGACAGUUCCUGACACUGAGACACGAAGGCCAGGGGAGCAAACGGG
rnacentral:rRNA from 1 species